rnacentral:rRNA from 1 species
UACGUAGGGUGCGAGCGUUAAUCGGAAUUACUGGGCGUAAAGCGCGCGCAGGCGGUCUUCCAAGUCAGUGGUGAAAGCCCGGAGCUCAACUCCGGAACUGCCAUUGAAACUGUAAGACUUGAGGAUGAGAGAGGUGAGUGGAAUUCCCAGUGUAGAGGUGAAAUUCGUAGAUAUUGGGAAGAACACCGGUGGCGAAGGCGGCUCACUGGCUCAUAUCUGACGCUCAGGCGCGACAGCGUGGGGAUCAAACAGG